rnacentral:rRNA from 1 species
UAAUACAGAGGGGGCAAGCGUUGUUCGGAAUUACUGGGCGUAAAGGGCGCGUAGGUGGCCUUCUAAGUCAUGCGUGAAAUCCCCGGGCUCAACCCGGGAACUGCGUCUGAUACUGGAAGGCUUGAAUCCGGGAGAGGGAUGCGGAAUUCCAGGUGUAGCGGUGAAAUGCGUAGAUAUCUGGAGGAACACCGGUGGCGAAGGCGGCAUCCUGGACCGGUAUUGACACUGAGGCGCGAAAGCCAGGGGAGCAAACGGGAUUAGAUACCCCGGUAGUCCUGGCCCUAAACGAUGAAUGCUUGGUGUGGCGGGUAUCGAUCCCUGCCGUGCCGAAGCUAACGCAUUAAGCAUUCCGCCUGGGGAGUACGGUCGCAAGGCUG